rnacentral:rRNA from 1 species
UGGGGAAUAUUGGACAAUGGGCGAAAGCCUGAUCCAGCCAUGCCGCGUGUGUGAAGAAGGUCUUCGGAUUGUAAAGCACUUUAAGUUGGGAGGAAGGGCAGUAAGCGAAUACCUUGCUGUUUUGACGUUACCGACAGAAUAAGCACCGGCUAACUCUGUGCCAGCAGCCGCGGUAAUACAGAGGGUGCAAGCGUUAAUCGGAAUUACUGGGCGUAAAGCGCGCGUAGGUGGUUCGUUAAGUUGAAUGUGAAAGCCCCGGGCUCAACCUGGGAACUGCAUCCAAAGCUGGCGAGCUAGAGUAGGGCAGAGGGUGGUGGAAUUUCCUGGGUAGCGGUGAAAUGCGUAGAUAUAGGAAGGAACACCAGUGGCGAAGGCGACCACCUGGGCUCAUACUGACACUGAGGUGCGAAAGCGUGGGGAGCAAACAGG